GACGAACGCUGGCGGCGUGCUUAACACAUGCAAGUCGAACGCAGUGGCGAACGGGUGAGUAACGCGUAAUCAACCUGCCCUUCAGCGGGGGACAACAGUUGAAAACGACUGCUAAUACCGCAUACUGAAGGAGGGGAUUGCGUCUGAUUGGGUGGUUGGGGGGGUAACGGCCCACCAAGGCGAUGGUCAGUAGCCGGACCGGGAGGAGGGACCGCCCAAUUGGGACCUGGGAAACGGCCAGAAUUCCACGGGGGGGCGGCGUGGGGAAUCUUCCGCAAAGGACGAAAGGCCGAAGGGGGCAAGCCGCGGGAGGGAUGAAGGGUUUUGGGUUGUAAAGCUCUGUUAAUCGGGACGCGGUAUCUGAACAGAAAGCCACGGCUAACUACGUGCCAGCAGCCGCGGUAAUAC
rnacentral:rRNA from 1 species